AACGAACGCUGGCGGCAUGCCUAACACAUGCAAGUCGAACGAGACCUUCGGGUCUAGUGGCGCACGGGUGCGUAACGCGUGGGAACCUGCCCUUAGGUUCGGAAUAACUCCCCGAAAGGGGUGCUAAUACCGGAUAAUGUCUUCGGACCAAAGGUUUAUCGCCUUUGGAUGGGCCCGCGUUGGAUUAGCUAGUUGGUAGGGUAAAAGCCUACCAAGGCGACGAUCCAUAGCUGGUCUGAGAGGAUGAUCAGCCACACUGGGACUGAGACACGGCCCAGACUCCUACGGGAAGCAGCAGUGGGGAAUAUUGGACAAUGGGCGAAAGCCUGAUCCAGCAAUGCCGCGUGAGUGAUGAAGGCCUUAGGGUUGUAAAGCUCUUUUACCCGGGAUGAUAAUGACAGUACCGGGAGAAUAAGCUCCGGCUAACUCCGUG
rnacentral:rRNA from 1 species